UUCUGAAAACAUGAAUACAUAUGGGUCUUCAAGGCCUCUGACACAAUGUACAAUCUGAAUCUCUGUCUAUAAAGACUCUACGAUUAUUUGACAUCAAAUGGGAUAGGGUACCGGCCUACCCAUAAGUCUAUGAAAAACUCGGACACAAUGACUCAUAGGCUCGGCUGCACUCCAAAUGAGGUAGAGUCUUACUGAUCCUUCGUUGAAUGCCAAUCUCGUCUACUAUGAGGGCUCCUCAACUGAUUAUCUAUACCCGCAGGCAUGAAUGCAACGUCCUCAACAAAAGGACAUUAAUAUGAAUAAUGUACUGAGUAUGUAAGGCAUGUGAAUAAGUGUAUAAAGAAACAUAGAGUAAAAGAUUCAGUCGGUAAGUCUGGAUAGUUCUGUAAAUAGUGAAAUAAUUAUAGUAUCAUGCAUAUGCGUAUGAAUGUCAUAUCGUGCAUAGGUACAUAUUUCAUAACAUCAUCAGGCCUCUGAGGGCAUUCCAUCAUAUCAUCUCGGCCACCGUAGGCAAAGUCACCAACGUAUACCAGCUGAUCAGGUGGUGGUGCGUAUAUAAUGUCGUAACCUUUUUUCAUAUACCAUAUACAUAUAUAUACAUACAUAUAUAUGCGUAUAUAAUGCUGCCUGUGUCAUAUUUCAGCCACUAUGGGAAACAUCAUCAUCGUAAACCAGCUGAUGAGGUGGUGGUGCGUAUAUAACGUCGUAACCUUUUCCCAUAUCCUAUAUACAUAUAUAUACACAUAUAUAUACGCGUAUAUAAUGCCGUCUGAGUCAUGGGUAAAUAUGUAUGCAUAAAUGUAUGAAAUGCAUAUGAAAUACGUUAAUAAAAUUUCUCGGUAUAUCGUAAGACAAUUAUGGCUCUAGUUAAUAUCAUGAAAUAAUAUGACACAUGGGAAAUUAAGUUUAAGCUUAAGUAAUAUUUUAGUGGCUUGUAUUAAAGCAAGAUAAUCUUCUUAGAUGCUACCAUAUUUUUGUUAAGUAGUACUACUAUUUUAAAAGAUAGUAGUACUACAACAAUUGUAUGAUAGAAGACUCGAAAGGUAUAGUACUGAUUGUUUUCGAUCUCUCCAUUUAGAACUUUACUUUUGUAUGAAAGCUGUCUUUCCUUUUUGUUUAACUUUAAUUAUUUUUAAUAUUUGUGAUAAUUAGACUAGUUAAUUCCUUAUCUUUAAUCAUAAGGUAGGUACUUAUAACCACUUCUACUACUCUAUGUCCCUGUCUAGCUAUGGGCUGGACUACAUUUGUAAAUAGUGAAUUGUUUACGGACCCAAUAUCUUAAAAAAAAGAAAUCAAGUAGACCUUAAUAACAAGUAUUUUGGUACUAAUCUGUUAAUAAUAGAAGUUGUGCAUUUGCUCGUUUUGUUCGUGUGAAGAGAUAGCCUUAACAUACCUGAGAUUGUAUAUUACACCAAGAUAAACUUUAGAUGCAGAACGCAUUACACAUCAAGCUUCUCAUAGUGGAGUUGUGACAAACUACCGUAGAUGUGUGGUUCUUUAGUUUACUGAGCUCGGUCAAACUAGUUGGGGUGGGAUGCAUAGCUAAUUAAACUAGUUGGGGUGGGAUGCAUAAAUCUCAUAAAAAAAUAAUCUUUCAGCUUCCAUAUUGUCAAUAGCAGGGUACAUAGCUAUUAAAGUAUUACCCACAAAAAUAACAAUCAAGAACCCAAAUUUCAAGAUUUUCCCAUGUGCCAACUCCCCAAGAUAACAACUUUUCAUUCCGACACAAGCUUUUAAGACACUAGUCAUGCAUACCCGUGCUAAAGCACGGGCCCAACAACACCAAAUUUGGUAUCUCUAUUAUAUUAGAAAUUCUAGCAUUUUUCUUGUACAUAUAUACAUAUACAUAAUAUGAAGGUAGAUUGAAGAAUACUAAGAUUAAAAGUUAGUACUUAUAUAUAUGACUAUACAAAGUUCCCGACUGUUUCAAUUCAAAUAGUUGACCUGAGCUGCUUUUAGUGCGAACAAUUUUCUUUUCGUCCUUAGUUACGUAUAAUAUUAGCAUAAAUGAAGCCAGUUCAAGUCACCCAGAUCAACCCAAAAAACAUUUGAAUAUCCUUUUUUUAUUAAAAGUGAUUGUUGGAGUAGUAACGUAGUUCAAGCUUCUCUUUGAAGUUUCUUUUUACCAUGUUGCUCUCGACUGCUUCAUGUAAUUACACACUGCAACCAAGAAGAGGAAAAAGAGCAAAGAGAUUUAUCAUGUAUUUAUUUUUUUAGAAUAUGUAUUUGAAAAGCUUUGAAGGGUGCGUGUAAGGUUGGUCCUACUUGAGAGCUAUACAUAGAAAACUAAGAGGAGCCUCCGAGAUCUUCAGAUUCAUGCUUGCAUAUACUUGUUCCCUAUAUAUUUCCAUAUAUUGAUUUGCUCCCAAAAAGUUUUGCAAUCCAACAACCCUACUAGCAAAUUAUUGAUCCAAAAUGCAAUAAAAACUAUAAAGAUCCUAAGCCUUCAUUCCAAUAAGAAUAUGUGGAAGCUCUCUAAAAGAAGUGCUGAUACAAAAGCACUUUAAAACAAAUUAAAAGAAUUAGAAAAGGACGAACCAGCUGAAAUUGCCUUUUCAAUUAGUAGAUGGCCCAUUGUAAUAUAGCAGUCUCAACUAACAGAGAAAUCAAUUCGUACUCCACCAUUUAGUGCAAUCCAUCACCGAGAAAUACAAAUUGAAGAGUUUAGACAUUUUUUCCAUCUAUCGGCAUUGAUACACCUUAUUUUUCAAAUUUCCUUUGUGUGCCUAGCUAACUGAUGUUAAGAUCCAAUUGAAAAGAAAAAAAAAACUAAAGAGAAAAAGAAAGAACAAUAGCAGUGAGAACCGAUGGAUAAGUCUUCU
rnacentral:lncRNA from 1 species